GACGUAGGGCGCGAGCGUUGUCCGGAUUUAUUGGGCGUAAAGAGCUCGUAGGCGGCUUGUCGCGUCGAUCGUGAAAACUUGUGGCUCAACUACAAGCUGGCGGUCGAUACGGGCAGGCUGGAGUUCGGUAGGGGAGACUGGAAUUCCUGGUGUAGCGGUGAAAUGCGUAGAUAUCGUAAGGAAGACCAGUGGCGAAGGCGAAUCUCUGGACAGUUACUGACACUGAGGCACGAAGGCCAGGGGAGCAAACGGG
rnacentral:rRNA from 1 species